CACAAGCGGUGGAUGAUGUGGAUUAAUUCGAUGCAACGCGAAGAACCUUACCUACCCUUGACAUGUCCGGAACUUGCCAGAGAUGGCUUGGUGCCCGAAAGGGAAUCGGAACACAGGUGCUGCAUGGCUGUCGUCAGCUCGUGUCGUGAGAUGUUGGGUUAAGUCCCGCAACGAGCGCAACCCUUAUCAUUAGUUGCUACGCAGGGGCACUCUAAUGAGACUGCCGGUGACAAACCGGAGGAAGGUGGGGAUGACGUCAAGUCCUCAUGGCCCUUAUGGGUAGGGCUUCACACGUCAUACAAUGGUCGGUACAGAGGGUUGCCAAGCCGCGAGGCGGAGCCAGUCCCACAAAGCCGAUCGUAGUCCGGAUUGUUCUCUGCAACUCGAGAGCAUGAAGUCGGAAUCGCUAGUAAUCGCAGGUCAGCAUACUGCGGUGAAUACGUUCCCGGGUCUU
rnacentral:rRNA from 1 species